rnacentral:rRNA from 1 species
AACGAACGCUGGCGGCAGGCUUAACACAUGCAAGUCGAGCGUCCUCGCAAGGGGGCGCGGCAGACGGGUGAGUAACGCGUGGGAACAUACCUUUCGGUUCGGAAUAACCCAGGGAAACUUGGGACAAUACCGGAUACGUGCGAGAGCAGAAAGAUUUAUCGCCGAAAGAUUGGCCCGCGUCCGAUUAGCUAGUUGGUGAGGUAACGGCUCACCAAGGCGACGAUCGGUAGCUGGUCUGAGAGGAUGAUCAGCCACACUGGGACUGAGACACGGCCCAGACUCCUACGGGAGGCAGCAGUGGGGAAUAUUGGACAAUGGGCGCAAGCCUGAUCCAGCCAUGCCGCGUGAGUGAUGAAGGCCCUAGGGUUGUAAAGCUCUUUCGCCAGGGACGAUAAUGACGGUACCUGGAUAAGAAGCCCCGGCUAACUUCGUG